rnacentral:ncRNA from 1 species
CAGUACGAUCGCACGGGCUAGUAUCGACUAGCCUUCGCGCGACGGGUCCCUCGCGAGUCCGCCCUAUCAACUGUCGACGGUCCGGUAAGUGCCGACCGUGGUGGCAACGGGUAACGGGGAAUCAGAGUUUGAUUCCGGAGAGGGAGCAUGCAAAAUGACUACCACAUCCAAGGAAGGCAGCAGGCGUGCAAAUUACCCCCUCCCGGCACGGGGAGGUAGUGACAAAAAAUAACGACGCGGGACUCUGUCGAGGCC